rnacentral:rRNA from 1 species
UACAGAGGUCCCAAGCGUUGUUCGGAUUCAUUGGGCGUAAAGGGUGCGUAGGCGGCCUGUUAAGUCGAACGUGAAAUCCCCGGGCUCAACCCGGGAACUGCGUCCGAUACUGGCAGGCUUGAAUUCGGGAGAGGGAUGUGGAAUUCCAGGUGUAGCGGUGAAAUGCGUAGAUAUCUGGAGGAACACCGGUGGCGAAGGCGGCAUCCUGGACCGAUAUUGACGCUGAUGCGCGAAAGCCAGGGGAGCAAACGGG